GAUGAAGAACGCAGCGAAAUGCGAUACGUAGUGUGAAUUGCAGAAUCCAGUGAAUCAUCGAAUCUUUGAACGCACAUUGCGCCCGCCAGUAUUCUGGCGGGCAUGCCUGUUCGAGCGUCAUUUCAACCAUCAAGCCCCAGGCUUGUGUUGGGGACCUGCGGCUGCCGCAGGCCCUGAAAACCAGUGGCGGGCUCGCUGUCACACCGGGCGUAGUAGAUUUUAUCUCGCUCAGGGCGUGCUGCGGGUUCCGGCCGUUAAAAAGCCUUUUUUACCCAAGGUUGACCUCGGAUCAGGUAGGAAGACCCGCUGAACUUAAGCAUAUCAAUAAGCGGAGGA
rnacentral:misc_RNA from 1 species